GGAGGGUGCCCCUUGCUUGGGGAGGCAAUCGGGAGGUGCUGAAGACUUUAAGACUGUCCAAGAAGCCAUCCCCAUCCACGAUGAGACAAGAAGGGGUUGGUCUCUCUGCAGGUUCACCACAUCUUAACUGAAGCUACACGGACUUCAAUAGUCAUCAUCCAACGCCGCUGCCUGCUUCCUGUCUUGAACUUUCCGUUUCCUCCCGCCAGGCUGGGAACUGAGCGCACGGCUGUGAGGGCCGCAGCUUGCAAAACGCAAAGCUCAGCAAGUCUGCACGGCUGGUGUCCAACAGAACAACAGCCCCACUGCCUUCUUUUUCCUAUUAGAGUGUAAUUGGCAUAUGAA